GACGAACGCUGGCGGCGUGCUUAACACAUGCAAGUCGAACGGACCUUCGGGUUAGUGGCGAACGGGUGAGUAACACGUGGGUGAUCUGCCCUGCACUUUGGGAUAAGCCUGGGAAACUGGGUCUAAUACCGAAUAUGAUCGCUGGCUUCAUGGCUGGUGGUGGAAAGCUUUUGCGGUGUGGGAUGGGCCCGCGGCCUAUUAGCUUGUUGGUGGGGUAAUGGCCUACCAAGGCGACGACGGGUAGCCGGCCUGAGAGGGUGACCGGCCACACUGGGACUGAGAUACGGCCCAGACUCCUACGGGAGGCAGCAGUGGGGAAUAUUGCACAAUGGGCGCAAGCCUGAUGCAGCGACGCCGCGUGAGGGAUGACGGCCUUCGGGUUGUAAACCUCUUUCGCCAGGGACGAAGCGCAAGUGACGGUACCUGGAGAAGAAGGACCGGCCAACUACGUGCCAGCAGCCGCCGCCGUAA
rnacentral:rRNA from 1 species